rnacentral:rRNA from 1 species
CCUACGGGCGGCUGCAGUGAGGAAUAUUGGGCAAUGCCCGCAAGGGUGACCCAGCAACGCCGCGUGGAGGAUGAAGGCCGUAAGGUUGUAAACUCCUGUUAGAGGAGAAGAAUAGUACCGAUUGGAUCGGUAUUUGACUGUACCCUCAGAGAAAGCCCCGGCUAACUACGUGCCAGCAGCCGCGGUCAUACGUAGGGGGCAAGCGUUGUCGGGAGUUACUGGGGGGAAAGGGCGCGCGGGCGGCAGAGGUGAAAUCCUACAGCUUAACUGUAGAACUGCCUGUGAUACUGUUAUUCUUGAGUUCGGGAGAGAGAGACGGAAUUCCAGGUGUAGUGGUGAAAUACGUAGAUAUCUGGAAGAACACCAGUGGCGAAGGCGGUCUCUUGGUCCGAUACUGACGCUGAGGCGCGAAAGCGUGGGGAGCAAACAGGAUUAGAUACCCGGGUAGUC